GACUGUUUCACAUGCACAGUUUUUUUGUUUUGUUUUCUUUUGUAGCCAGCAGGUCAGCAGGGGAUCUAAGCUUUUCAAAAGCUUAAUUCUUGGAAGAGAGUCCUGAUUUCCAGUGUGGGAGUAAACCAGGGUCUUCCUGCCAACCUCAGAACAAAGGUUUCCUCCAGAACUCCGUCUCUCACCAACAGAAUGUGAUUGGUCCCAGGACAACUCAGAGUUGACAUCGUGGUGAAUUCGCUACUUUGUGUCUCUAAUCCCUGUGCCUGGUGUCCCUCCUCUCAGGGCCGAGGGACCUAGCAGACACAGAGGGCGCAGUGUCUGCAGUUCACUCUUCUUUCAGAAAGUGAAAGUGAACGCGUUAGUUGCUCAGUCUUGUCUGACUCUUUGGGACCUCAUGGCCUGUAACCUACCAGGCUCCUUCUUUCAGGGACUGAUGCAAAUGUUUCACCUUUAAUUCUUUAUAGAAUCAGGAGGAAAUGAUACACAAUGACUGUGUAAUAAGGAAUCCAUCCUGAAUUAUAUUCCUGCUUAUCCUAACACAAUUGUAAAUGCAUUGUGGAUAUUAUUUCUGGAGGAGGGGCCCAUGAAGACCAACAUGCUUCAGUGUGAGAAGUCACAGUGAGCCUACCUCCACUAGCUCCGCUAAGUGUCUGGUGGAUUUUCUCCCUGGUGGACUUUUCUUUAUCAAGGCACCAUCUAUUUCUUCCAAAUUUAUUUCUUUGUUGACCUUUCCCCCAUCACAUCUCCCAUUUCCUCAUCCUUAAAAUGUCACCAACUGAAUUAUAAGGAGAUCAUGAGCUUAACUGAUCCUCCAGUGACUGCUGUGUCCUUAGUAGGACACACCCCAGGUGGUCGUAGUGCUAAAGAACCUGCCUGCCAAUGCAGAAGACACAAGAGAUGCGUUUGAUCCCUGGGUGGGAAGAUCCCCUGGAGCAGUGCAGGCAACCCACUCCAGUAUUUUUGCCUAGAGAAUCUCAUGGACAGAGAAGUCUGGUGAGCUAUAGUCCUUAGGGUCGCUAAGAGUGGGACACAACUGAGCAACUUAGAGUGUACGCAUACAUAUGUAUAUGUAUAUUGUGAUUCUGAAAAAAGACAUGAUGAAAAAUGAGAAAAGAUAGCAAGUUACUUUUCUGUUCUCAAAAACUGUUAAGUGUAUUCUGUGUUCUCCUUCAUUAUGCUGUGAAUGCCUAGACUUACUCAUCCUUGUAGGUUUGUGUCGAUAGCACAGCUUCUGGCACAUGGAAUGGCUCAGGAUGCACUCUUUAAUGAACUGAAUUGAAAAGAACAAAUUUAGAAAGAAAAAUCAGACUAUAAGGAAGGAAAACAGCAGUAAUGUUAAUUAAUAAAUAAUGAAUGUAGUCAUAUAAUACAAAUUAAGAAAG